rnacentral:rRNA from 1 species
AGAGUUUGAUCAUGGCUCAGAACGAACGCUGGCGGCAGGCUUAACACAUGCAAGUCGAACGCACCUUCGGGUGAGUGGCAGACGGGUGAGUAACGCGUGGGAACGUGCCCUUCAGUUCGGAAUAACCCAGGGAAACUUGGGCUAAUACCGGAUACGUGCGAGAGCAGAAAGAUUUAUCGCUGAAGGAUCGGCCCGCGUCUGAUUAGCUAGUUGGUGGGGUAAUGGCCCACCAAGGCGACGAUCAGUAGCUGGUCUGAGAGGAUGAUCAGCCACAUUGGGACUGAGACACGGCCCAAACUCCUACGGGAGGCAGCAGUGGGGAAUAUUGGACAAUGGGCGCAAGCCUGAUCCAGCCAUGCCGCGUGAGUGAUGAAGGCCUUAGGGUUGUAAAGCUCUUUCGGCGGGGACGAUAAUGACGGUACCCGCAGAAGAAGCCCCGGCUAACUUCGUGCCAGCAGCCGCGGUAAUACGAAGGGGGCUAGCGUUGUUCGGAAUCACUGGGCGUAAAGGGCGCGUAGGCGGCUUGAUAAGUCGGGGGUGAAAGCCUGUGGCUCAACCACAGAAUUGCCUUCGAUACUGUCUGGCUUGAGACCGGAAGAGGUAAGUGGAACUGCGAGUGUAGAGGUGAAAUUCGUAGAUAUUCGCAAGAACACCAGUGGCGAAGGCGGCUUACUGGUCCGGUUCUGACGCUGAGGCGCGAAAGCGUGGGGACAAACAGGAUUAGAUACCCUAGUAGUCC